UUUUCCCAUGCUGUGAUAAAACACCACAACCAAGGCAACUUAUGAAAGAAAGUGUUUAACUUGGGGGCUUACAGCACCAGCGGGGUGGGAGUCCAUGGCAUUCACGGUGGGGAGUGUGGCAGCAGGCAGGCAUGGUGGCCGAGCAGGAGCUAAGAGCCUGUUCUUGAUCUACAAGCACAAGGUAGAGAAAGUGGACUGGGAAUGGGAGGGCGUUUGAAAUCUUUGGUGGAGUUUUUGGGGUCGCUUAUGUACACUAUCAUAUCUUCUGCAAAUAAUGAAAGUUUAACUUCUUCCUUUCCAAUUCGAAUCCCCUUGAUCCCCUUAUGUUGUCUUAUUGCUAUUGCUAAAACUUCAAGCACUAUAUUGAAGAGGUAUGGAGAGAGUGGACAGCCUUGUCGUGUUCCUGAUUUUAGUGGGAUGGCUUUGAGUUUCUCUCCGUUUAGUUUGAUGUUAGCUGUCGGUUUGCUGUAAAUAGCUUUUAUUAUAUUUAGGUAUGACCCUUGUAUCCCUAAUCUCUCCAAGACUUUUAUCAUAAAGGGAUGUUGAAUUUUGUCAAAAGCUUUUUCAGCAUCUAAUGAAAUGAUCAUAUGGUUUUUUUCUUUCAGUUUAUUUAUAUGGUGGAUUACAUUAAUAGAUUUUCGUAUGUUGAACCAGCCCUGCAUCUCUGGGAUGAAGCCUAAUUGAUCAUAAUGGAUAAUUUUUCUAAUGUGUUCUUGGAUACGGUUUGCCAGUAUUUUGUUGAGGAGUUUUGCGUCGAUGUUCAUGAGUGAGAUUGGCAGGCGUUUGAAAUCUUACAGUCACCGCAGUGACAAACUUCUAAUCCUUCUCAUCAGUUCCUUCAUUUGGGAUCACGUAUCAAAUAUAUGAGCCUAUUGGGCCAUUCUCAUUCGAACUACGGCACCAGUCCUGGGCAUAUACCCAAAGGACUCCGUAUGCCACCACAAAGAUCCUCAUUUAUCUAUGUCCCCUACUGCUCUAGCCACAGGACCUAAGAUGGAGUCAUCCAAGAUGGUUAUCAACUAAUGAAUGAUACCAUCUGGCAAGGAAGAAAGCUUCCAGGGUCCAACCUCAGUGUCACAGAGCUGAACAGAGUCAGCACAGAUGCUUAUGUUGGGGCAAUAUCCCACAUAAGUCAAGAAUAUCCUAAGUUGGAAAUGCAUUUAAUUCAGUGAACCUUCCUGAACACACAGCUCAGCAACACCGAACUCUGUGGAGAAGUAAAAGCUUCCUAUGAUUCCUGUGAUUGCUUGGUUGACUGGAAGCUGCAGUGUGCAGCCUCUGCCUCCAGAGAGAGGGGGCUGGUGAGAUGUCCUAGCAGGUGAAGGCUGCCACACUUGGCAAUCUGAGUUGCAUCCCCAAGACCCACCUGGGGGAAGGAGAGAACAGACUCCCACAAGAGUACGAUGUCCUCUGAUCUCCACACGUGUGCCCUGGCACAUGCAUGCCCACCCUCCCAAAUAACUGCACAUUUUUCUUUGCAAGCCUGUGUUUUCUGAAGCCCUAUAACAAGCCGGUGAAUAUUUAUAAGGUAUCUAGCUUUCUUAACAAAGAAAAGUCCGAUGAAAGACAUAGUCAUAUUUAAAGGGACAGAAUGGCUUUGCACACCAGCAGUUUGGUCUUUGAAGAAGCUGGUGGAAUAGUUGCCUGGCAGGAAACGAUACACGAAAUGGUGUCUCCGAAAUUUCGAAAUGAGCCACCCCAACUCUUCCUUCUUGCCUGUUUCAAAACUAUGUGACAAAAUCAAGAGAAUUGGAAAUAAAUGGUCUUCCCAUACUCUCCCCGGCUAAUCCAGACCAGCUGGGAAAAAUCAUCUGACGGACAACGCAUCAAAAAUCAAGGCUAAAAAUCUGCCAGAGCUAUUCAUAGAAAAGCAGAUGUGGGAACCAGCCCAUGGUUUGUGUGUAGAGGGGUUACAGAUAAAAAUAGCGCCCCAAAGUUUUCAAAGGUGAUUUGCAACCCCCCAAGUAUAGAUGACCGCAACUGGAAAUAAGACGCCAAGGGUGAAGUUGAAAUGGCCACCUCUCUAGGGUCCCACAGGCUGAGACUCUUGCUUGAGAAAGAAGAGCUCCUGUCCUUCCCUCAACAGGCUGCACACAGCACGGCACGCUUCUUUUCUGACAAGUUCUUAAUAUUCUUAUCCUUCUUCUCUUCUGUCCGUUCAAGAAAAGACUGUAUGUUUCGAAAGCAUUCUAUUUUCUUUUCCCUCCCCCCUUGAAAGCCAAGUCCGGAAGACAAGAGAUAGGCUUGGCGUCAAAAUGAAAUAAAACAUGUUCUGAGUGCCCCCCCCCAUUUUUUUUUAUUGUAUCUUUACUUCUACACAUCAUUGGGUUGUGGCUUGCAGCUGCUGAAAUAGAAAAGUAUUCUGAACCUGUGCAACUCCAUCCCAGAUCCUAUACCACGGGAUUUACAAUCGGUCUCUGUUUGAGAAGGGAAGAAAGCGUGUGGGUGGGUGGAAGUGAUGUUGUUUAGCAGUGUCCACUUCUCAAGUUCUUUGC